rnacentral:rRNA from 1 species
UCUGGGGGCCGGGUUAUAUCUUUUAAGUGAAGAAAUUUUAGUUUUGAAUUUUAAUUUUUUUUGUGAAUUUUGAAAGUGUUUUUGGAGGUGAAAUUUGGAAAUAUUUUUUUUAUUCUUUUUAUAAAUUUUGAAAACCUUUCUUUUAACUUGGAUUUGAUACCCUUUUUUAUUUGGAAUUUUGAAGAUUUGGUAGUAAAAGUUGUCUUGAAACUUAAAGAAUUUGGCGGUGUUUUUAUCUUUCCAGAGGAACUUGUAUUUUUUUUCGAAACUACACGAAACAUCUUUUCUAGUUUUAGUUUGUAUAUCGUCGUAAUAAAUGAAACUUUUAAGUGAACAUUUAGGGUAAUUUUUUUUUGAAUUACAGAUCUUGGUCCAGCUUUUGGCUUUGGUUAAUAUGAGUUUCAAUAUUUUAGUAGGUAAAUACGGAAAUAUUUUUUUAAAGAAUUUGGAAGGUGGAUCUGGAAGUAUGUUAAA